CAAUAGCGUAUAUUAAAGUUGUUGCAGUUAAAAAGCUCGUAGUUGAAUUUCUGAUCGAGACAUCAGGUCGGGUCCGAGAGGAUCAUGUACUUUGAUUUUGUUUUGAUCAUCCUUGGGGAGAGCAUUUCUGGCAUUCAGUUGUCGGGAUUGGGAUCCUCAUCGUUUACUGUGAAAAAAUUAGAGUGUUCAAAGCAGGCCUCGGCCUCUGAAUACAUUAGCAUGGAAUAAUAAGAUAGGACUUUGGUGGUCUAUUUUGUUGGUUUGCACGCCAAAGUAAUGAUUAAUAGGGAUAGUUGGGGGUAUUCGUAUUCAAUUGUCAGAGGUGAAAUUCUUGGAUUUAUGGAAGACGAACUACUGCGAAAGCAUUUACCAAGGAUGUUUUCAUUAA
rnacentral:rRNA from 1 species